UACGGAAGGGGGCAAGCGUUGUUCGGAAUCAUUGGGCGUAAAGGGCGCGUAGGUGGCUCUGUGUGUCUACCGUGAAAGCGUACGGCUCAACCGUAUUUUGUCGGUAGAAACUGCAGGACUUGAGGCUGGGAGGGGCUGGUGGAAUUCCCUGUGUAGCGGUGAAAUGCGUAGAGAUGGGGGAGAACACUCGUGGCGAAGGCGGCCAGCUAGACCAGUUCUGACACUGAGGCGCGACAGCGUGGGGAGCAAACAGG
rnacentral:rRNA from 1 species